ACAAAAUAUUUGAUUUAUGUAUCUACCUGACACUUUCUCACAAUGCAAGUGUCAUUCACAAAGUUUUAAAAUCUCUAUUGGAACAGAAAAUUAAGGGGGGGGGGAUGUGUUUAUAUUACUGAUAAGGCAUCUGGUACAUGAUUCUGUGACUCCAAUCAUUUUGGGUUGGAUCUGGAAUGUCCCCCCAAAGGCUUAUAUGAUGAAGUCUUGGUCCCCAGUACAAGAGUGUUCAGAGGUGGGGAUUUGGGGAAGUGAGUGGAUCAUGAGGGCUCUGACUUCAUCAAUGGAUUAAUCAAUUGAUGGUUUAUAAUUGGACUCUUUGGAAGUGAUGGAAACUGUAGGAGUCCAACUGGAGGGGUGGAGGGAGCGAGUCGCUGGGGACUGGCUCUGGAAGAGUAUAUCUUGUUCCAUUGUUCUGGAGAUACACACACACACACACACACACACAUCCCGUAGGUAGUUGUAUCACUCACAGAAUUAUUUCUGAUUUUUUUUUCUCUAAUCCACAUGCCUCUUUGUAUUUUCACAUCUGAAGAAAUAAACAAUGCACCCUGAUUUUUGGGAAGGUCAUAUGAAUACAUACAUAUUUCUGAAACCCUAGAGAAUAAUAUUAUAUAAUACACUGUAUAUUUUAAUAAUAUGUCUCUAGUUAAAGAAAGUCAGAAUCAUUGAUUGGAAAUAAGCUAAAUGUAAACUCUUAAGCAAUUUGUGUACAUUUUUGGCUUAAGUAAUAAAUAUAAGCAACAGAUAGCUAGUGAAGACAACUUAUAUAAGGAAAGACUGGAAAGGGAAAAUCAGGAAAAUUUCUAAUGUCAGCUAGGUGACCAAACUAUUUAAAUUUGUCUGGGUCUCAAUUUCCACAUCUACAAAAAAGAGGGACACAUUAAUGAUCAGUAUAUUUUUUUGAUCAAUUGCAAAAUCCCAUGACCCUAAAUCAGAGUAUUGAAUUAGUAGAUUUUAAAAUAGCCACAUUAUGCUUCCUGGCAAAAAAUGUUACCCUUGAGCGUAGCUCUGUUGGAGCUGGCUGCCACCCCUCCACAACCUAAGCCUGUAUCCCCAGGAGCACUUUCUGAAGGUGAGUUCCAAAUUAAACUCCACUAUUUGUAGUGUUUUAGGACCAAAAAACAUAAUGACAACAUACUGGAAGAGGUUAC
rnacentral:lncRNA from 1 species